CCUACGGGAGGCAGCAGUGGGGAAUAUUGGGCAAUGUGCGCAAGCCUGACCCAGAAACGCCGCGUGAAGGAAGAAGGCUUUCGGGUUGUAAACUUCUUUUCUCAGGGACGAAGCAAGUGACGGUACCUGAGGAAUAAGACACGGCUAACUACGUGCCAGAAGCCGCGGUAAUACGUAGGUGGCAAGCGUUAUCCGGAUUUACUGGGUGUAAAGGGGGUGUAGGCGGGAAAGCAAGUCAGAUGUGAAAACCAUGGGCUCAACCUGUGGCCUGCAUUUGAAACUGUUUUUCUUGAGUACUGGAGAGGCAGACGGAAUUCCUAGUGUAGCGGUGAAAUGCGUAGAUAUUAGGAGGAACACCAGUGGCGAAGGCGGUCUGCUGGACAGCAACUGACGCUGAGGCGCGAAAGCGUGGGGAGCAAACAGGAUUAGAUACCCCAGUAGUC
rnacentral:rRNA from 1 species